AUGAACGCUAGCGACAGGCCUAACACAUGCAAGUCGAGGGGCAGCACAAGGAGCAAUCUGAGGUGGCGACCGGCGCACGGGUGAGUAACACGUAUGCAACCUGCCUGUAAGCGGGGAAUAAACCCGUUGAAAGACGGACUAAUACCGCAUAAUACUAAAUUACUGCAUGGUAAUUUAUUUAAACAUUUAUGGCUUACAGAUGGGCAUGCGCAUGAUUAGCUAGUUGGAGAGGUAACGGCUCCCCAAGGCAACGAUCAUUAGGGGUUCUGAGAGGAAGGUCCCCCACACUGGUACUGAGACACGGACCAGACUCCUACGGGAGGCAGCAGUGAGGAAUAUUGGUCAAUGGACGAGAGUCUGAACCAGCCAAGUCGCGUGCAGGAAGAAUGUUCCCUAUGGAUUGUAAACUGCUUUUGCAGGGGAAUAAAGUGCAUCACGUGUGAUGUUUUGUAUGUACUCUGCGAAUAAGGAUCGGCUAACUCCGUGCCAGCCGCGGC
rnacentral:rRNA from 1 species